rnacentral:ncRNA from 1 species
AGCGAUACUGACGUGCAAAUCGUUCGUCUGACUUGGGUAUAGGGGCGAAAGACUAAUCGAACCAUCUAGUAGCUGGUUCCCUCCGAAGCAUCCCUCAGGAUAGCUGGAGCCCAUUACGAGUUCUAUCAGGUAAAGCCAAUGAUUAGAGGCAUUGGGGACGCAACGUCCUCGACCUAUUCUCAAACUUUAAAUAGGUAGGAUGGCUCGGCUG